GACGAACGCUGGCGGCGUGCCUAAUACAUGCAAGUCGAACGAACUCUGGUAUUGAUUGGUGCUUGCAUCAUGAUUUACAUUUGAGUGAGUGGCGAACUGGUGAGUAACACGUGGGAAACCUGCCCAGAAGCGGGGGAUAACACCUGGAAACAGAUGCUAAUACCGCAUAACAACUUGGACCGCAUGGUCCGAGUUUGAAAGAUGGCUUCGGCUAUCACUUUUGGAUGGUCCCGCGGCGUAUUAGCUAGAUGGUGGGGUAACGGCUCACCAUGGCAAUGAUACGUAGCCGACCUGAGAGGGUAAUCGGCCACAUUGGGACUGAGACACGGCCCAAACUCCUACGGGAGGUAGCAGUAGGGAAUCUUCCACAAUGGACGAAAGUCUGAUGGAGCAACGCCGCGUGAGUGAAGAAGGGUUUCGGCUCGUAAAACUCUGUUGUUAAAGAAGAACAUAUCUGAGAGUAACUGUUCAGGUAUUGACGGUAUUUAACCAGAAAGCCACGGCUAACUACGUGCCAGCAGCCGCGGUAAUACGUAGGUGGCAAGCGUUGUCCGGAUUUAUUGGGCGUAAAGCGAGCGCAGGCGGUUUUUUAAGUCUGAUGUGAAAGCCUUCGGCUCAACCGAAGAAGUGCAUCGGAAACUGGGAAACUUGAGUGCAGAAGAGGACAGUGGAACUCCAUGUGUAGCGGUGAAAUGCGUAGAUAUAUGGAAGAACACCAGUGGCGAAGGCGGCUGUCUGGUCUGUAACUGACGCUGAGGCUCGAAAGUAUGGGUAGCAAACAGGAUUAGAUACCCUGGUAGUCCAUACCGUAAACGAUGAAUGCUAAGUGUUGGAGGGUUUCCGCCCUUCAGUGCUGCAGCUAACGCAUUAAGCAUUCCGCCUGGGGAGUACGGCCGCAAGGCUGAAACUCAAAGGAAUUGACGGGGGCCCGCACAAGCGGUGGAGCAUGUGGUUAAUUCGAAGCUACGCGAAGAACCUUACCAGGUCUUGACAUACUAUGCAAAUCUAAGAGAUUAGACGUUCCCUUCGGGGACAUGGAUACAGGUGGUGCAUGGUUGUCGUCAGCUCGUGUCGUGAGAUGUUGGGUUAAGUCCCGCAACGAGCGCAACCCUUAUUAUCAGUUGCCAGCAUUAAGUUGGGCACUCUGGUGAGACUGCCGGUGACAAACCGGAGGAAGGUGGGGAUGACGUCAAAUCAUCAUGCCCCUUAUGACCUGGGCUACACACGUGCUACAAUGGAUGGUACAACGAGUUGCGAACUCGCGAGAGUAAGCUAAUCUCUUAAAGCCAUUCUCAGUUCGGAUUGUAGGCUGCAACUCGCCUACAUGAAGUCGGAAUCGCUAGUAAUCGCGGAUCAGCAUGCCGCGGUGAAUACGUUCCCGGGCCUUGUACACACCGCCCGUCACACCAUGAGAGUUUGUAACACCCAAAGUCGGUGGGGUAACCUUUUAGGAACCAGCCGCCUAAGGUGGGACAGAUGAUUAGGGUG
rnacentral:rRNA from 1 species